AGCGAACGCUGGCGGCAGGCCUAACACAUGCAAGUCGAACGAACCUUUCGGGGUUAGUGGCGGACGGGUGAGUAACACGUGGGAACGUGCCUUUAGGUUCGGAAUAACUCAGGGAAACUUGUGCUAAUACCGAAUGUGCCCUUCGGGGGAAAGAUUAAUCGCCUUUAGAGCGGCCCGCGUCUGAUUAGCUAGUUGGUUGAGGUAAUGGCUCACCAAGGCGACGAUCAGUAGCUGGUCUGAGAGGAUGAUCAGCCACAUUGGGACUGAGACACGGCCCAAACUCCUACGGGAGGCAGCAGUGGGGAAUCUUGCGCAAUGGGCGAAAGCCUGACGCAGCCAUGCCGCGUGAAUGAUGAAGGUCUUAGGAUUGUAAAAUUCUUUCACCGGGGACGAUAAUGACGGUACCCGGAGAAGAAGCCCCGGCUAACU
rnacentral:rRNA from 1 species